UGAUCAGUCCCCCCCAGUGACCAAGCC
rnacentral:piRNA from 1 species